ACCGGCGCACGGGUGAGUAACGCGUAUGCAACUUACCUAUCAGAGGGGGAGUAACCCGGCGAAAGUCGGACUAAUACCGCAUGAAGCAGGGGCCCCGGCCAUGGGGGAUAUUUGCUAAAGAUUCAUCGCUGAUAGAUAGGCAUGCGUUCCAUUAGGCAGUUGGCGGGGUAACGGCCCACCAAACCGACGAUGGAUAGGGGUUCUGAGAGGAAGGUCCCCCACAUUGGUACUGAGACACGGACCAAACUCCUACGGGAGGCAGCAUG
rnacentral:rRNA from 1 species